rnacentral:rRNA from 1 species
UCUGUCCUAAGGGAAGAAUGGUUUCAAGUUGAAUAAGCUUGAUUCGUGACGGUACCUUAAAGAAAGCGCCGGCUAACUUCGUGCCAGCAGCCGCGGUAAUACGAGGGGCGCAAGCGUUGUCCGGAUUCAUUGGGUGUAAAGGGUGCGUAGGGGAUCAAUAAGUUGGAAUUUAAAUCCCGCAGCUUAACUGCGGACCUGGUUCCAAAACUGUUGGUCUUGAGUUCGAAAGAGGAGUGGAAUUCCUGUGUAGCGGUGAAUGCGUAAUAUUAGGAGGAACACCAGUGGCGAAGGCGCUCUCUGGUUCGAUACUGACACUAAGGCACGAAAGCGUGGGGAGCAAACAGGAUUAGAUACCCUGGUAGUCCACGCCGUAAAC